rnacentral:snRNA from 1 species
AUAAUUAACUGGCAGGUAAGAUGGUUUUCCCAGGGCGAGGCUUAUCCAUUGCACUCCAGAUGUGCUGACCCCUGCAAUUUCCCCAAAUGUGGGAAACUCGACUGCAUAACUUGUGGUAGUGGAGGACUGCGUUCACGCUCUCCCCU